CUGCCUCUUGCGUGAACAGUGUUUGGACGGAGCAG
rfam:Myotis brandtii contig174226, whole genome shotgun sequence.